AGCCAAUUAUUUUUUCAUGGGGGUAAUGCUAUAAUAUUAUAAUAAUUGAAUAGAAAAAGGUCACAGGAGGAAGAAAUAUAUCAUUUCUCUUCUAAAUAGUGGCUUAGAACAUUAAAUGUAUCUAACACAUCCUGUGACUUUACAUACUUUACAUACAUAUACUAACAUUUAGGAUAUAAUAUUUAAAACAUAAAAAAAAACACAAAACCCAUUAAUAAGUAGUACAUAUUA